UAGCCGUGAUGAACACUUUUGUGCCAGAGGCGGGUGCUUCAAUAGGGCUCUGUCUGUGACGGCUACACAACCCUCUAAGAAGUUCUGAGCUU